CCUACGGGUGGCAGCAGUGGGGAAUUUUGGACAAUGGGGGCAACCCUGAUCCAGCCAUGCCGCGUGCGGGAAGAAGGCCUUCGGGUUGUAAACCGCUUUUGUCAGGGAAGAAAUCCUCUGGGCUAACACCUCGGGGGGAUGACGGUACCUGGAGAAUAAGCACCGGCUAACUACGUGCCAGCAGCCGCGGUAAUACGUAGGGUGCAAGCGUUAAUCGGAAUUACUGGGCGUAAAGCGUGCGCAGGCGGUUGUGCAAGACAGAUGUGAAAUCCCCGGGCUUAACCUGGGAACUGCAUUUGUGACUGCACGGCUGGAGUGCGGCAGAGGGGGAUGGAAUUCCGCGUGUAGCAGUGAAAUGCGUAGAUAUGCGGAGGAACACCGAUGGCGAAGGCAAUCCCCUGGGCCUGCACUGACGCUCAUGCACGAAAGCGUGGGGAGCAAACAGGAUUAGAUACCCUGGUAGUC
rnacentral:rRNA from 1 species